AAUGGAUUUUUCACGACAUUGUUUUAUAUUAGAAUUUAAGGAAGGUUCAUCAUGACUUGCCUGGAACUCCUGAUGGACUCAGCUAUGCAAAUAUUGACUCUGAUUAUCUCUUAACCUCGUGUGCACCAUCAACCCACACAAAUAGAAACUAUGGCUUUCAGUUUGCUCAUCUUCGUAGUGAAGCCACUUCUAUUAAUCAGGUAUUUGCUCAGCAAAUGGAACUAUUCCGAGUAACCACUGGUAAUACUAGGGUUCAGUUCAUCAUGGGAAUGGAGAGCUGGAUUAUUCCUAUUAUGAAUGAUGACUUCUAGUAUCCAUUGUUCAGAGAUUUUCU